GCAUCUGUGGUUCAGUGCCGAGAAUGCUCGCCUGCCACGCGGGCGGCCCCGGUUCGAUUCCCGGCCGAUGAA